rnacentral:rRNA from 1 species
UAAACGACUUUCGGCAACGGAUAUCUCGGCUCACGCAUCGAUGAAGAACGUAGCAAAAUGCGAUACUUGGUGUGAAUUGCAGAAUCCCGUGACCCAUCGAGUUUUUGAACGCAAGUUGCGCCCGAAGCCAUUCGGCCGAGGGCACGUCUGCCUGGGCGUCACGC